CACAAAUAGCACCUGUGGGAAUCUUGAUUAAACUGGGAUGAAAUGAUCAAUCCAUUUGGCUUUUUUGAAGAAAGCCCUGUUCUUUGAAGGGGAAGCAUUUUAUGCAAUUAACCUUCAAACCUCUAUUUCUGUUGUCCAACGUGCUUAGGUGGAAUCAAAUACCAGCAGCUGAACUGACAAGUGUUAAUGUCAUAUAAUGAUUAUUUAAUAUAGAAUAACAUUAAAUCAUCAACAGGAAUAACUCUCAGAAGUUGAAAUCCUUCUCUGAUGGUUCUUUGAAUUCUGCCUGGUGAUCAGUUACCCAUUCCACCUUGGCGUUAGCACACACACCUCAGAAACGGUCAGAAUAAAUUCCUUCAUGGAAAGAAACCUGAAGCAGAGUCAGCAGGCCUUUGCUGGCCAGCGCCUCCCGAGCUUAGUUGGGAUCAGCUAGAGCUGCUUGAAAUCACUUCCUUUUUCAGGAAGUUGGCUUUCCAUGCUCAUGACCCCCAGGCUCUCCUGGACACACCACCCUCACCCCAAACAUCACCCAGGGGCAGCACUGUCCCCUCAGCCCCCCAGGGAGAAUGCCAGCCCUGAGGCACCAUGAGAUUCCUCCACGGUUAAGCCAUGCUCUCAUUCCUGUCUUGUGUGUAAUCUUCUAAGAGGUGAAGGUGUCAGAAGAACAGAGCAUGAUGGAGUAAGUACCUGUCCCCUCUCCCCUGUGUCCUGUGGAUGGCAAGCAAAAGUAUGCAUGGAAAUAUUGAGGCGAUUCUGAUAUCUGAUUCCUCUGUAUGAUAGCUAAGCAUCCUUAUUUUGCUGUCCUCUAUUCUCACCAGACUGCUUAUUACAGUUUUUUUUCAGUUAAUCAUCUUUGCUAUUUUAACAUCCUUAAUCAAUAGCCCUAAUUCCUUCGAUUUUCAUUAAUGUUUUCACUGAGUUCUUUGCAGAAACAGAUCUUUAC
rnacentral:lncRNA from 1 species